rnacentral:rRNA from 1 species
UUGACCUCGGAUCAGGUAGGGAUACCCGCUGAACUUAAGCAUAUCAAUAAGCGGAGGAAAAGAAACCAACAGGGAUUACCUCAGUAACGGCGAGUGAAGCGGUAACAGCUCAAAUUUGAAAGCUGCCAACAGGCCGCGUUGUAAUUUGUAGAAGCUGCUUUGGGUGUCGGCCCGGUCUAAGUUCCUUGGAACAGGACGUCAUAGAGGGUGAGAAUCCCGUAUGUGAUCGGUGCCGUUGCCCGUG